UUAUAAAUGUAAAUAUACCAGAUAUAAAUAAUUGAGUGUAGCUGACAAUAUGAUCUUUCAAGCAAUCCAACGAUCCUCAAAAAACAGAUUAUCACGUGUACAAAAAGGGAUCAAUCAUUCCUAAUAUCCAGGUAACUGACGGCUUUUUUCCAUACGCUGAUUUAUGGCCCAUUUAUGGUAGCGAGUCGAUCACGUGUUAUUGAUAAGAAAAAUUAAUCGCAAAAGAUGCAGGAAAAAGUGACUCUUUAUGAGGAGCGUGGACGCUGCUGAAUGAUGAGAUUCAACAAAGAAGAAUCAGUAUCAAUGAAACUGUCAGAAACAAUAUGUCAAGUGAUACCACGGACGCUAUAUCUAUAUACACAACCACGUGUGCCACGUAAAACGGGAGAAAAUCAAGUAUCAAGGAAUCCCAAGUCUUAAGCCAGUUUUAUACGGGUUUCACGCAGGCAACGUGCUUAACCAUUUACAUAGGAGAGAUGAGCAAGAUAUCAGAUGAACUGGAGCGAGGCGUGGCGCCGUUCCUAUACUAGUUUUACUCACUUUACUUGCUUUGCUCGCUUUGCUCGCUCCCAUCUUCUCCAGAGUGAGUAUAAACUCUCGGGAGUUCUUGUCAGCGAGCGAGUGGGUGUGGGGAACCUUGAGAAACUAGCAAGGAGGAGUACGCGACCUUGCAAGGCCAGACAGGUGCAGUUUCUUCAGAGCAAUAACGAUCAAUUUCAAGUACGACUUCUAUACAUGUAUAUAUUACAUAUAUUGAAGAUAUCAUACGUUCCAGCAUUUGCCAAGUAAACAGAUUGAGACGCAUUGAGAUACACUGAGAAGACCUUUCGUCUUGGUGCUACUGAAUUUCAAUCAUUCAUUUUUAUACCAUUGAUCUUUUAUGCUCUUGAUAAAUAUGAUCCUCGCUACUGCGCGUGGCUUAUGUAGUUACAAAAUCAACAGGUGUUUCAUUCAUAAGAUUUUGAUCUCAAUGAUCUUUCAUUUGUUCGUGUAGACUGUGAUGAUUGCAUCUAUCUAUCUAUCUCUGUCUGCCUUAUGGAUUAUAUUCACUUAUGUCCAUAAAGAAACAAGAUCAAAAGAUAUCCCCCACUUUGGUCGAGAAGAUUCCAUCCAGCCAUUCAUGUCUGGAAUCUCGUUGACCUUUGACAGAUUUAAUUAAGCUGACGUGCGCCGAUUAGCUGGCAAUUUAAAUGAAAUUAAUAUUGUGGAACCCCGGAAUCAUGAUCCUUUGGGAUAUCAGUUGGAGUCUUUUAAUUCCAAUUUUACUUGGAAACAAGAAUAUCUACACUAAUGAGGGUAAUUAGAUAUUCGGAUCUUAGACGAUAUACUUUUCGACAUAGAUAUGUGGAUAUUAUUUUAAUUUCUUUUUUUUUUUGCUUUUUCUAACUCUUCGACACGAAAACGACACGAUGCUUGUUAAUUGUGGGGGAUUGCAGGAAAUCAUAAGUGUAAAAAUUAACGAAUUUACAGUUAUCGUUAUUUUCAAAUUUUUUUUUUUCUAACUAAUUCUAAUAUAGGACGGAGCAUACGAGCUAUCAUAAAACAUGCUCAUUAACGUUUCACGUAUAAAACGGGAUAAUAUUUUCUUUAAGUUUUUACAUGUUUCGCCCAUUAGAAAUGUUUUAUGAGCCUUAGAUUUUUGGGAAGGAUCCUUAAUCGUUAAUACCGACCCGUUAACUUAACAGGCUUGCAAAGUACACGAUGAAACAUUUAUAUGCGCGAUAAGAAACACAAGUGUCAAUAAUGGUGAAAGCUAU